CUGGGAACUGCAUCUGAUACUGGCAAGCUUGAGUCUCGUAGAGGGGGGUAGAAUUCCAGGUGUAGCGGUGAAAUGCGUAGAGAUCUGGAGGAAUACCGGUGGCGAAGGCGGCCCCCUGGACAAAGACUGACGCUCAGGUGCGAAAGCGUGGGGAGCAAACAGGAUUAGAUACCCUGGUAGUCCACGCCGUAAACGAUGUCGAUUUGGAGGUUGUGGCUUCCGGAGCUAACGCGUUAAAUCGACCGCCUGGGGAGUACGGCCGCAAGGUUAAAACUCAAAUGAAUUGACGGGGGCCCGCACAAGCGGUGGAGCAUGUGGUUUAAUUCGAUGCAACGCGAAGAACCUUACCUGGUCUUGACAUCCAGGUGCUGCAUGGCUGUCGUCAGCUCGUGUUGUGAAAUGUUGGGUUAAGUCCCGCAACGAGCGCAACCCUUAUCCUUUGUUGCAACUCAAAGGAGACUGCCAGUGAUAAACUGGAGGAAGGUGGGGAUGACGUCAAGUCAUCAUGGCCCUU
rnacentral:rRNA from 1 species